rnacentral:lncRNA from 1 species
GGGCAACAGAAAAAUAGGAAGUUUAUCUACAUUGAAUUCUUUUGCAGAGACUCUUUUGCUGAAAGUCCUAAAAUCAUCCAUGGUGAAGAUUUCUGGAGAAGGUCAGUUAAGUCUUUUCUGUGGGCCUGGAUAGGGAGGGGUAAGACCAUAAUGUGGGGCUGAGAGCAGCUCAGGUGGAUUUAGAAUAAGGAAGGAGAUGUAAAAGAAUAAUGGAAAAGGGGUUUGGGAUUUUUCCCUAGCAAGGAAAUCUUGAGCAGUAUGACAGGUAGAGCAGAGGAGAGGAUGGGAGUGAAUAUCCUAGGAAGCCUGUAAGGGACUUUAAAUUCUUAGUAACCUUGUUUUCAAUUGUGACAAAGAAACUUUAGAGGCCAUUUUCACCAGAUCUCACAUAGGGGUCUGAGGGCCCUCCUCAGCUCCUUUGAGCUUUGGGUUAGCUUGUCAGAGGGCCUGAUGGGACUGGGUGUGGGCACUGACAGAAGAAGAGAGGAGUGAGUGGGUGGAUGGUUACCUUCAGUACCUGCUAUUUCAUGCAAGGGGGGCAAUGUUCUGAGGAAGGGCAGUGGUGUACGGUUUUGGAUCUAGUUGUUGGAGGAGAUAAUGGAGGUUGUGGAGGUGGGGGAGAUGGUAGAGGGGCUCAGGCAGAAGAUUGAGAGUGAGAACCUAUUUGAGCUGGGCGAUAGAGUGGGGGUUCAUCAGCAGGGUCAAAAGUAGUGUGUAAGUCCGGAGGAGAAGAAAGUUGGAGAUCAGUGGUUGGGGGGGGGAUUUGCAAGCUAGAAGAAUUUGUAGAGGUUUGCAAGAGGUGGAGAGAGCAGGAUUGGAUCAGAGCAAGAAGAAAGCUUGGAUAUAUUGGAUCUCUACCCAUUUUUUUAAAUGCUCACAGUAGUUGUAAAGAUCCCUUAGAAUAGAGGGCAUCCCUUACAAAAGGGGGCUAUUUGCUUUGACUGUCUAGUGGAUAAGUGGACCAAAACUGGGUGCUAUAUUUGAUCAAUUUGGGGGUUUAAUAUCUGGUGUCAAGGAGAGGGUUUUGAGGUUGGCUAAAAUAAAUUGUAAGGGAGAGUUGGCUGGCAGACAGGACAUAUUAGUCAUGUCACAAACAUAGUAUAAGAGGAGGGGGAAGGAGUUGAUUUAUUGGAAAAGUUGCAUCCCCUCUAGAGCCAAAAUCAGACAGUGCCCAGUGGCAGGUUCAAGCUGCAGAGAUUGGUCAUCACCAAUUUCUGACAGUGGAAGCUGCCAUCCUGGACAGGGCCAGAGCCAUGGGAGACCUUGGCUAAGGUUUUGUGGGACCCCUCCUGGAGGGGCCAGAGAAAGGAGAGAGGAAGGGGAGGGUAAACAUAUCUCUAGUGGCCGAGUCUUAAAUGUGGGAGGACUUUAUGAGGGACACCGUGACCAUGAAGGCCUGGGUGGGGUGUGAUUUUUAGUUCUUCAUUAUGUGUUCCCAUUAUGUGUUAUAUAGUCCUUUGAGAGUGACAUAUAAAGUCUAUGCCAGGGAAGGGGAAGGAAAAUAAUUUUGGACGCAAGAGUCGAAUCUGAAGGAGAAUGGAGUCCCUGAGGACCACCAUGGCCUUGAAGGCUGUGGUAGGGUGUUUUCCUCCCCACAAGUGGGUGAAGAGGUUUUCUGGAUAAUCAAGUGUCAAAUCUUCCUGAGACCACUAUUGGGUUUAGGACUCCAAGAAGGGGAAACAUACCAAUCAAAGGCUGGUGGUGGAUGUAGUUCUAACGGUUGAGAAAAUGUGUUCAGGCCACCCAGUGAGUGUCACUUCCAAAGGAAGAGGGACCCAAAAGAUGGGUUUCACCCUCUUCCUGGGUUUCAGCACCAGAUUAAAGGAAAGUGACCACAACAUUCGGAGUGACCAAGAGAUUUUUAUUGCAGUGGUGUCUGAUCAACAGGAGAAAGAGAAGGAGAGAGAGAGAAAAUAAAGAGAGAGGGGGGAAUAGCUAACAUUCAAGUAUUAGUGUUUGACAGAGCCCUUUUCCAUAUUUUCCCAUCAUUUUUUGAACAUAUUAGAAGAGAAAUCGUAAAACAGAUGACACUCAAAAUAUUACUUUAAUUAUUAUUAUUAUAGUUUAUAUACAAAAAUUUCUGUUACUGGAUGCAUAAAGUAGUUAGACUUCCAUACUCAGUUAUGGCUUUGCCAGAAGACCAUACUCUCCCCUUAAAGGAGCAGACCACUUUAUAAUUUAUAGAGGGCCAAAAGAGAAAACCUGCUUUCUGUAUACAUGCUCACUCCUAAGGUAAGAUUAGAGGAAAUACCAGGGAUCUGUAAGUUCUGUGUAUUAAAAUUUAAUAACAGAAUUAAGCUAUUUGUCCUUCUCUAGAAAGGAAUAAGUCAGAUUACAGAUAAUUGUAGUUGUCUCCACUAUGAAGGAAAAUUAAAGAGUGCCCUCACCUAAUAACAGUAAAUGAAAAAAAGAAUUUCUUUAUAAUCUACAUCAUAAUUUCCUCCAAUAUGUCAUCACUUUGUAUUAUGUGACUAAAUACAUCCAGUCUGAACCUACCUUAAUCAAAGAAACACUACAUAAGAUUAAAAAUAUCACUAAGAUAUAGAAAAACAGAGUAGAAGUCAAGAAACAUGUAACCUGCUCCUGCACCAUUCUCUUAUUGUUAAUGUUUCAAUUUCCCUCAAUAUAAGGGUAAAGAUAGACUUGUUAAUAGAAAUAGUAAAUACUAGAUAAGUGUUUCUCACUGUCAAGGAGUAGGCACAACUUUCUAGGAAGAAAAAUAACUUGUUUAUUCAAUAAAGGUAGCAUAUCCUUAAAAAUCCCCCCAUGAAAGAAAUAGAAAACUGGAAUAGGUUUACACUCAUUUACUUAAAAACAACAAGUUAAAGGUAUUCCCACAAUAAGAACUUCCAGUCCAGAUGGCUUUACUAGCAAGUUUUACAAACAUUGCAGUACCAAAUAAUUAUAAUAUUAGCUAAGAUCUUUCAAAAUGAAAAAAAAAGAAAAAUUUCCACUACUCAUUUUAUAAAAUAGAACCAUUAUAUCAGUGUAAAGGCAAUAUGAGAAAGGAAAAUUAAAGCCAAUUUCACUUAAUAAUAUAAAUGGAAACAUCUUAAAAUGUUAACAAAACCAUCAAUAUAACAAAAAGAUGAUAAGCUGUAACCAUACUAUAUUUAUUAUCAGAUUGUAAGAUUGAGUCAAUAUAAGAAAAUCUGUUAAUAUAUUAAAGCUUAUUAAUAUGCUUCAGUAUCUUAAAAAAUUAAUGGAAAAAUAUGAAUAGCUCCAUGCACAAGGAAAAUUUUUAGUUGUAAAUGUACACAAUAUCUUUAUUUUAUUCAUUUUAACUUUGUGUUGUACUGAGGAUUGAACCCCAUGCAUCACAUGUGCUAGGCAAGCACUCUACCACUAAACCAUAAAAUUCAGCCCCAUAUCAUGUUAUUUUUAAAGCUAUUGUAGCAAUAAUAAAAUUAAUAUAAAUAAAGAUAAGUACAACAAUAUAGUACCUGGAAAUAAAUUAAAUAAUUUUUUAAAAAAUUUAUGUAGGAACAUAUUAUUUUGGAAAGUUAUUAUAAAAUUAUUAAUAAAUGGAAGUGGUUACACUAUUUUUGUAUAGGAAAAUAUGCUAUAAUGUACAUGUAAAUUCUCAAAAAAAUUAUUCAUAAUUCACUGUGAUUUCAUCAUGAAACUUGGCAGUUAUUCUAAAAUUCAUAUGAACAAACUUAGGACAUUGAAAGCCAUGUUUAUUUUUAAAAAGAUAACUGUAGGGUGACAGUGUGCUAUCAGACAUCAUUUCAAAGAUGCAGUGAUAGUCCAAUACAUAAUUGGAUAGACUAUACUGCCAAAAAUAUGCAUGCAUGUCUGUAAGCUUUAUAAGAUAUAUUUGGCAUUAGAGAUUAGUAGGAAAGGUAUUUUCCAAGACCGACUCACCAUUUAAUUACAAUAAAAUUAUUCAGUCAGACAUAACUGCAAAAGUAUACCAAAGAGGAAACUAAGUGUACAUAGAGUUUCUGUGAAGUAUUGCUUAAAACUGCAUAUGAACCUACAAUUGUCUCAAUAAAAGUUUUAAUUAAAAGUAGAAGAUAAUACUUAUGUAAGUAUGGUGUUUUGAUAUGAGGUGUUCCUCUAAAGCUCCUGAAUUAAUGCAGAAAUGUUCAAAAAGUGAAACCAUAGGCUAUGAGAACUAUAACUGUUCAGUCCAUCCUACCUUGAAUAGUCUAGCAGGGUGUUGUUGACUGCAGGUAUGUGGGCUUUGCUGGAGGAGGUACGUCACUGGUGUUUCCUGUGACGCUUAUUCCCUUACUUCUCUCUGCUUUCUUCUGGUAGGUUAUUGAGCAGCCUUCCUCUGAUAUACCCUUCUGCCAUAUUGCUCUACCUUACCUAGAGCCCACAGCAAUGGAGUCAGCCCAAACUGAACUAAAUCUCUGAGACCAUAGGCCGAAAUUACAUUUAACUCCUCUAAGCUGUUCUUGUGAGGACUUCUGUACACAAUGAUACAAAGCUGACUAAAGCAUAUGAGUAAGUGAUAGUUAAUGAAAAUAUAGAUAGUGCCUCUGUGUGUAUAAAUAAUGAUUAGUGCUGGAUUACAAUGAGAAAUGCAUUUCUAAACAUUACCCAUGGUUGAAAAGUAUGGAAAUCACUGGGCAUUCAAUAAGGUUUUGGAGAAACAUAUUAAUUCAUAGUAGAAAAAGUAAUAAAAAUAGAUAUUUACUUAUUAUACACAAAAAUUAAUUCCAUAUGCAUUUGAAACUUAAAUAUAAAAGAAAAACUAUUGACUUUUAGAAGAAAAUAUAGACAAACUUUUAAAUAAAAACAAAAACCCUAUAAGGUGUAAAAGAAAAGAUGGACAAAUUCAAUUAAAUUAAAACUUGCACUUAUCAAAACAUAAAAAAGGAAGGAAUAGGAUAGCUACAAAAUAGAAAAAAUCCUUCAAUAAACAAUAUAACUAAUAAUGAUUAGAGCCUCUGCUGCUACUGCUGCCACUGAUGCCACUGCCCUUGCCCAGAGGUCCAGCCUCAGGGUGCUGCCACCAUCAGGAAAUCCAUUGCCAGGGUGCCUGCAGGUUUGCCACCUCUGCCAUCUCAGAGCACAGCCACCUAUGUUGCUGACACUGGCCAGGACCUGGAGGUACAGUGUCGGGGUACCUGUGGAUUUGGCUGCACCUGGGGCUUCCUGCUGUGAGUGCUGGUGGUUGACAUCUUGCUGCCUUUGCUCAGGGUCACUUCUCUGUGUUAGCACAUCCUUAAUGGUCUCUCUGCAAGUUGGAAAGGCAUUGAGAUCUUGGGACUGCAAGGUGGCUGAGCCUGGCUGGGGUAUCUGAAGCACAGAUCCAUCAGAUAAUGACUGGGUCUGUGUGGGCUAGACUGGGUCUGACAAUCCCAUGAAAAGUUGGAGAAUGGGUGCAUCUUGCCCCAGGGGAGCACAAGUUGGAAAGGGCUGGUGAGAGCCAGGCUAUCACUAGCUCUGCGAGUCCAGAAGUAUGCAGGGUGAAAGGGGCUGGCUACAAUGGGUUCUAAGGUUGAAAACAGGUUUGAGGACAUCUUGUUAUAAGCUCACCCAGCCAAUCAGUCAGCCACCCACUGGACAGGAGCCACCUCAAGCUCCAGACAACUGUAUAAAUUAACAGAGAAAGGAAGCUGAGAAACUUUUGAACACCAACAGAAACAAUUAUUCAAUUUUCCAUUGAGAUUUUUUUUCUCCUUUCUAACAUAUCUAGCAUAUUUGAACCAAGUAUUUUUCAUGCACCAGUUUAUUGAAGUCUGGGAUGCAUGAAUAAUAUUUUACAAUUUUGUUGUGUAUUCUUAUAUUUUUACUUUAUUCUUUUAUUUUUAAUUUUUUAUUCUGUAUAUAUUUUUCCUCUCACUUAUCUGUUUCAAUUCUCUUUCUUCCCUUUCUCCUGAUAACAGCCAAUCUCUAUCAAUUUCUCUUUUAUUCUUCAUAUAAAUGUUUACUUCUAUCUUCUUUCCUCCUCCCUAAUGAACAUCACAUCCUACAUCACUUCUGUUUUAUCUUUAUCCAACAUUUAAAAUCACCUUUUAAGAAAAUUUACUGUUUAUAUUGUAGACAAUAAUUGAACACAUCAUUUCUAAUUAUUGUGACAGAACAGUAAAUAUUUUAAUAGGAGCUAUUAGGGUUAAGGCUGUAUAUUGUUCACAUUGGGUGCUGUUAAUAUUCACCUCUCCCUUACUGGAAAACCUCAGGGACACUAUAAGCCUACAGUGUAAAAACUAUAUUACAUCAGAUCCCGAGUGCUAGAUAGGAAAACACACAAACAACAUGAAAAAACAAGGGAAAAAACAUUCCAAAUGAACCAAGAUGUUUCAAUAACAGAAUCAAUUGACAACACAGUAUAAUAAAUGUCAGAGAUGGAGUUAAGAAUGUACAUAGUUAAACUGAUCUGUGAGGAACUGGGGUUUUGGCUCAGUGGUAGAGCGUUCCUCUCACAUGUGCGAGGUCCUGGGUUCAAUCCUCAGCACCAUAUAAAGAUUAAUAAAUAAAAGAAAGGUAUUGUGUCCAACUAUCACUAAAAUAAAUAUUUUAAAAAAUAAACUGAUCUGUGAAAUAAAGGAUGAUAUAAGGAAUGUAAUUCAAAAAUAUAAGCAAUGAAAUAUUACUUCAAUAAAGAGAAAGAGAUUCUGAAAUAAAAGCAUGAAUCCUUGAAAUGAAGAAUCACUGAACCAAAUACAAAAUUAAAAUUAAAUGAAAAACAUCACCAACAGACUAGACCACUUGGAAGACAGACCCUCAGGCAAUGAAGACAAAAUAUAUAAUCUUAGAAAUAAAGUUGGCCAUGCAAAGAAGAUGAUAAGAAACCAUGAACAGAACUUCCAAUAAUUAUGCAUAAUGUGAAAAGAACAAAUUUAAGAUUUAUCCAAAUAGAAAAAGGAGCAGAGAUACAACCCAAAGGAAUGCACAAUUUUUUCAAUGAGAUAAUAUCAGAAAAUUUCUCAACUCCCAAAGAAUUAAAUGGAAAAUUAACUACAAGAGGCUUACAGAACCCCAAAUAUACAAAAUUACAGCAGACUCACACCAAGUCACAUUAUAAAUAAAAUGAAAAACAUAUAGAAUAAGGAUAGAAUGGUAAAGGCCACAAGAGAAAAAAAUCAAAUUAUAUAUGGGGGAACCAAUUAGGAUCUCAGCUGAUUUCUCAAUGCAGACCCUCAAAGUCAGGAGUUCCUGAAAUAAUAUAUUUCAAGCUCUGAAAUAAAAUCAAUGCCAACCAAGAAUUUUAUAUGCAGCAAAUUUAAGCUUUGGAUAUGAGAAUGAAAUGAAGGUUUUCCAUGAUAAAUAAAAGUUAAAAGAAUUCACAACUAGAAAGUCUGCACUACUGAAUAUUCUCAGCAAAAUAUUGUAUGAGGAUAAAAUGAAAAAGGAAAACCAGCAAAAGGAGAAAAUACACUAAAGGAAUAAUUAAUCAAAGGAGAAACUAAGUGAAAUUAAAAGCCAGAAAUAAACCGAAAUGACUGGUAUAAAUCAACCCUUAAUAACAACCUUGAAUGUUAAUAGCCUAAACUGUUCAAUAAGAAGACAUAUACUGGUAUUGUUUAUUAAACAACAAGACCCAACAAUAUGCUGUCUCCAAGAGACUCACCUCAUAGAGAAAUCCACUGACUGAAGCAGUGAAAGAAUGGGAAAAAACAUACCACUCACAUGGAUCAAGUACACAAGCAGGGGUUUCAAAUAUCAUAUCAGAUAAAGUGGACAUUAAGCUAAUGUUAAUCAGAAGCAAUAAAGAAGAAUAUUUCAUACUAUGUAAGGGAAUUAUACAUCAGGAAGACAUAAAAACUGUAUGUCCCAAACCAUGGAACAUCUAUGUACAUCAAACAAACCUCAAUUUUAAGAAUCAAAUAGACCACAACAAAAUAUUACUAGGAGACUUUAAUAAACAUCUCUCACUACUGGACAGAUCUUCUAACAAAAUAAAUAAAUAAACUAUAGAACAAAAUAAAAAAUCAAUAAUUUAGUCUCAACAGACAUAUAUGGAAUAUUUCAUCCAUCAAUGAGCAAAUAAACUUUCUUCUCAGCAGCACACAGAUCCUUCUCUAAAAUAGACUGUAUCAUAUGUCACAAAGCAACUCUUAGUAAAUACAAAAAACGUGGAGAUAAUACCCUGUAUUCUAUAGAACAAUAAUGGAAUGAAAUUAGAAUUCAAUGAUAAGAUUAAAAAUAGAUCAUGGUUGCCUUGGUGAAUGCCUGUAAUCCCAGUGGCUUGGGAGGCUGCGUCAGGAAGAUCACAAGUUCAAUUCCAGCCUCAGCAAAAGCAAGGUGCUAAGCAACUCAGUGAGACUCUGUCUCUAGAUAAAAUUUUAAAAAUUGGGCUGCAGAUGUGGCCCCAUAGUCGAAUGCCCCUGAAGUCAAUCUUCAGUACCCCCCAAAAAAAUAAAAGCUAAUAUAACAUCUGGAGACUAAAUAAUACACUAUUGAAUUAUGUAUGGAGAGCAGAAGAAAUCAAGGAUGAAACUUUAAAAAAAAUACUUAGAGGUAAAUGAGUAUAGAGAUUCAACAUAUCCAAAUCUCUGUGACACUAUGAAGACAGUACUGAGAGGAAUGAAAAUAAUAAAAAGUCAACCAGUAAAUGACUUAACAUUACAUCUAAAAUCCCUCAAAAAAGAAGGGCAAAUCAACACCAAAAGCAGUAGAAGACAGAAAAUAAUUAAAAUCAGAGCUCAAAUCAAUGAAAUUGAAACAAACAAAAAACAACAAUUAUAAAAAUUGACAAAUAAAAGGUUGGUUCUUUGAAAAAAUAAAUAAAAUUGAUAAACAUCUAGGCAUGCUAAUAAAAAGAAAAGCAGAGAAAAGUCAAAUUACUUACAUAUAUGAUGAAAAAGGAAAUAUCACAAUGGACACUACUGAAAUAUGGUAGAUAAUUAGAAAAUAUUUUGAAAAUGUAUAUGACAAUAAAAUAGAAAAUCUAAAAGACAUUGAUAGAUUGAGAAAUUUCUAGAAACAUAUGAACUAUCCAACUGAAUCAGGAGGAAAUACACAAUUUAAACAGAUCAAUUUCAAGGAAUGAAAUAGAAAACACCAUUUAAAGCUUCCCAAUCAAGAAAAUCUGAGAACAAGAUGAAUUCUCAGCUGAGCUCUAAAUUAACACUAAAUACUUCUCAAAUUAUUCCAUAAAAUAGAAAAGGAAGGAACCCCUCAAAACUCAUUCUAUGAGGUUAAUAUUACCCUAAUACCAAAACCAGACAAAGACACAUCAAGGAAAGAAAACUUCCUACCAAUAUCCCUGAAGAAUAUAGAUGCAAAAAUUCUCAAUAACGUUCUGAUAAAUUGCAUAUAAAACAUAUUAAAAAGACAGUGCACUGUGAUCUAGUGGGGUUCAUCCCAGGGAUGCAAUUUUGGUUCAACAUACAGAAACCAGUAAAUAUAAUUCAACUCAUCAAAAGACAUAAAAUCAAUAAUCCUAUGAUCAUCUCAAUAGAUGCAGAAAAAGCAUUUGACAAAAUGCAGCACCCCUUUAUGUUCAAAAUACUAGAAAAUCUAGGGAUAACAGAAACAUACAUCAACAUUUUAAAACUGAACACCAAAAAAAAAAAAAUAACCCAAUCAAUAAGUGGGCUAAGGAACUGAAAAGACACUUCACAGAAGAAGGAAUACUAUUCAUCAACAAAUAUAUGAAACAAAUGUUCAAAAUCUCUAGAAAUUAGAGAAAUGCAAAUCAAAACUACUCUAAAAUUUUAUGUCACUGCAUUCAGAAUGGCAAUUAUCAAGAAUACAUGUAACAAAAAAUCUUGGCAAAGAUGUGGGGGGAAAGGUACAUUCAUACAUUGCUGGUGCAACUGUAAUUUGAUGCAACCAUUAUGGAAAUGGUAUGCAGAUUCUUUAGAUAACUUGGAAUGGAACCACCAUUUGACCCAGCUAUCCCACUGCUCAGUUUAUACCCAAAGGACUUAAAAUUAGCAUACUACAGGGAUGUAGCCACAUCAAUGUUUACAGCAGCUCAACUCAACUUACAGUAGCUAAACUAAGGAAAUAACCUAAGUUUCCUUCAACUAAUGAAUGGAUAGGAUAAAGAAAAUGUAUAUAUAUUUGUUGAUGAACAGUAUUCCGUAUUCCUUCUUCUGUGAAGUGUCUUUUCAGUUCCUUAGCCCACUUAUUGAUUGGUUAUUUUUUUUUUGGUGUUCAGUUUUAAAAUGUUGUUGUUGUGUGUGUAUAUAUAUAUACACACACACACACACACACACACAAUGGAAUAUUACUUAGCCUUAAAGAGUGAAAUUAUGGCAUUUGUCAGUAAGUGAAUGGAGUAGGAGACUAUCAUGCUAAAUAAAAUAAGCCAAUUCCCCCAAACCAAAGGUUGAAUGUUUUCUCUGAUAUGCAGAUACUAAACAAUAAAGGGGGCUAUGGAAAAAUAAAGUUAUUUUGAAGAAGGUAGAAGGGAGUGAGAGAGGCAUAGAGUAUGGGGGUAGGAAGGAUCAUAGAAUGAAUCCGACAUUAUUACCUAUGUACCUAUAUGACUACCCACUACUGUGAUUCUACAUCAUGUACAACCAGAAGAAUGAUAAAUUAUACUCCCUUUAUGUGUAAUGUGUCAAAGUGCUUUCUACUGUCACACAGAACUAAUUAGAUCAAAUUUAAAAAUAGAGGAAAAAACCCUGAGUCAAUGGCAUAGCCCAAUCUUGGACUUUGAACCCCUAGAACUCUGAGAGAAGAAAAUAUUUUUUAUUUAUCAAAUUAGCCUAACUCAGUUAUUUUGUUAUAGUGAUAAAAACUGAUGUAUAUAGCAUUAUACCAAGUUAUAUAAGCCAGUCAUAAAAGUAUAUAUAAUAAAAGUUACCAUAUAAUAUCAAAACAAAUAAUGAUUAGAAUCCAAAAUGUGUGUAUAUACUGAAAAUCAAUAAAAAUAAGAUGAACAAGAAGACAGAAAAUUAAAAAACAAACAUGAACAGGUAUUUCAAUGAUGAAACACUAACAAUAUUAAUAGGCCUUACAAGAUAAAGUUGAUCCAAAGAAGCUGGAUACAAAACAAUAUAAAUUAUAUAGUUCCAUUUAUAUAAAUUUAAAAUUAAACUGCAUAAUACAUCAUUUAUUGACCCAAGCAAUUGUCCCAGACUAUAUAGAAAAAUAAGGUAACAAUGAUUACAAAAUUUGUGCUUAUUAAAAAUUUAGUUUUAUUCACAUCUGAAAGAGAAUGUGAUUAAGAAGAAAUACACUGCAGGUUUUAGUAGUCUCUCUCUCUCUCUCUCUCUCUCUCUCUCUCUCUCUAUAUAUAUAUAUAUAUAUAUAUAUAUAUAUUCUCUCUCUCUCUCUCUCUCUCUAUAUAUAUAUAUAUAUAUAUAUAUAUAUAUAUAUAUAUAUAUAUCCAUCCAUCCAUCUAUUUGUCUAUCAAUUCAUCCAUUUACAUCUACAUCUGUAUCUAUAUGCAUAUAUAUAUAUAUAUAUAUAUGCAGAUAGAUAGAUGGAUAUAUAGACAUAUAGAAAGAAUUAUAUAGAUAUAGACAUAGAUACAUAGAUGGGUAUAUAGAGAGACUCUUAAAAUGGUACAUAUGGCAUAUAGAAUUAAAAAUAGAAACCACUUCAAAUGGCCAUAUAACCAUAGCAAAAAAAAAAAAAAAACAUUAUCCUGGUUCUAAGGAGCUACAAACUGUAUGUGAAAGUAUAAUAAUCUCCUUAGAAACAAAAUUAGUAAACACAAUAUUUAGGAGAACACCUUGCACUGUUAAAAGCAGAGGGAUAAGAUUCUCUAUAUUGAUAAUAAAUACUUAAAUUAUAAGGAAGUGGCCACUCCAAGUAAUCUGCUAUGGAAUACAAAUUGAAAAGGGUUAUAAUGGAGUAUUGAGGAAUUAUAAAUUUGAGGUCUAAAAUUGGCACAGAAUAUUAAAUUUUAUGGACUUACAUGGCUAUGAAGUGAUUCAAUCCCUAAUGAAGACAAAUUGUUACUCCAUAUCAAAAUAACAUUCUGUAAGAUUCGAGGUUUUCACAUGUAUAUAAUGUGUCUGCAUGUGAGCAUUCAUGUUUAAUUUGAAUUCAUUAAAUUAUAUAAUAUUCUACAGCUAUAUUGUGAAUUUAAUCAUUUUAAAGUUAUUCUUACAUGUUUUAAAUAAAUUAAUGAAUUUCAAACAAAACCUCCCAUGAACAUGUGUAGAUGGAAUGGACAGAUAUUUCAGUUAUUGUCUUACAAUCUUCUUAGAAAAUCUGAAACACCAGAAUUCCUAGAAGUGAUAGACAUAUACAAUGAGACACACACACAUACAUACAAAUCAUGUAGUGCUGCAAAAGGUCUUAAAUCAAUUUUUCAUACUUCCAUUCUAAGAGCCAAGGAAAACAAACACAAUGGAAGCACAAUGAAGAAAGUAAGUUGAGAGUGAAAUAAAUAAAAUAAUAAAAAAUUAAAGAGGGACUAUUACUACGAAUCUUAUGAAAUAAAAAGCAUUAUAAAGGAAUAAAAUAAGAAACUACAUCAAUAAAUUAGAUCAUUUGAAUAAAGUGGACAAAUUCCUAGAAAGGCACAAGCAAUUGAAACUGACUCAAGAAGAAAUGGAAAAUCAAAUAGAUAUAUAAUAAUUGAAAAUAUUUAAUUAGAAAUUGAGUAACUCCAAAAGUCCCAAGCCCAGAUAAAUUCACUAACAAUUUUUCCAACCAUUACAAGAAUUAGCACUAAUCCUUCUCAAACCCUUCCAAAAAUUAGAAGUGGAGGUAUCACCUCUAAUUCAUUCUAUGAAGCCAAUAUUACCCAGAUACCCAAACUAAAUAAGUAUACUACUAAAAAAGUAAAAUAGAAACCAACAUACCCUAUCAAUACAUAUGCAAAAAUUCUCAACCAAAUACUAGCAAUCCAAAUAUAUAAAAUUGAAUAUAUAAAAUGGAUUAUAGAAGAUUAUACCUUAUGAGCAAAUGGGAUUUAUUCUCGAAAUGCAAGGUUAUCUAACAAUUAAAAAUCAAAUCAAUCUAAUACACCGAUUCAGUGUGUUUGUAGUGCUGUUACAAAAUUAAUUCAUGAAAAACAGAAAUAUAUUUUUCACACUUCUAAAGGCUGGGAGUCCAAGAUCAAGGCAUUAGCAUAUGGAAUCUGAUGAGGGCUGACCUUUGCUUCCAAGAUGGUGAUUUGUUUCUACAUACUCUGGAGAGGAUGAAAAUAGUAUAUUUGUAUAGUGGAAGAGAUGAGAAGAAUGGAAGGACAAGAAAGUGCUUCCUUCAAACUUGAACCCUUUUAUAAAGGGUUCUAAUAUCAUUCAUCAGUGUUUAGGCAUUAUGACUGAAUGACUACCCUAAAAACUACACCACUUAGUACUGCUGCAUUGAGGAUAAAGUUCCAAUGUGAAUUUUGGAGAAGACAAAAUAUCCAAAAUGUACUUUUUGUCACAUCAGCAGUAUAAAAAUCAAAACCAAAUAAUUGUUUGCUAGAAAAUAUUUGACAAAAUCCAACACCCUUUGAUGAUAAAACACUCAAAAAUCUUAGAAGGGAACUUCCUAGGCCUGAUACGAAGAAUCUAGGAAAAACUCACAGCUAACAUCAUAUCUAAUCAUAAAUUAUUGGACUUUCCCUUAGGAUCAAGAACAAGAUAAGUUCCAUUAACAAAUAAAGAGAAGAAGAAUAUAUAAUACAUACACAGUCACACACACACACACACACACACACACAGAGAGAGAGAGAGAGAGAGAGAGAGAGAGAGAGAGAAUGAAAUAUUUUAUGGUUAUAAAAAAGAAGAAAAUAUUGCCAUUUUUAAUAAAAUGAGUGAAUCUGGAAGAGAUGAUGUUAAGAGACCUAUUGUAGCAACACAAAGACAAAUAACAUAAUCUCCUAUGUGGAAACUGAAAAAGUUGAUCUCACAGAAGUAGAGACUAACAUUGUAGUGAUCUGGAGAAUAAAGGAGAGGAUUAGGGAGAUAUUGACAGAAGGGACAAAAAUUCAGUUAGGAGGAAUAAAUUCAAGAUAUUUAUUGUAUAAUAUAGUGAAUAAAGUUAAUCACAAUAGUUUACAUUCUUGAAAACUAAGAGAUUGGAUGUUAAGUGUUUUCAUCACAAAAAAUUAUAACUAUGUGAGAUUAUGUAUAUGUAAAUUAGUUAAAUUUAGUCUUUCCAUUGUGUGUAUUUCCAAACAUAAUAUACAUAACAAGUACAAUUGUAUAGGUCAAUUUAAAAAAAAUAAGAAUGACAAGACUAGGAUGCCCAAUUUACCACUGCUACUCCACAUUGUACUGAAAGUUAUAGCCAGACAAUUAGGAAAUGAAAUGAAGUCACAGGUAUCCAGACUGAAAAAUAAGAAAUAAAUCUCCUUCCAGUCACAGAUGACAUGAUCUUAUAUAUAGAAACUCCUAGGGAAUCUAUAAAAUAUUUUGAGCUACUAAAUAUGUUCAGCAAAAGUACAGUAUACAAGAUGAAGAUAGCACAUCUAUUGUGUAUCUAGAAUGAAUUAUCUGAAAAUUAAAUAUAAGCAAAUAAAACUACCUUUUAAUAGCAUCAAUAUAAUAAAAUAUGUAGAAAUAAGCCUAAUAAAAUAAAUGCAAGAUUUAUACACUAAAAGGUAAAAAAUACCUUUAAGUGGAUGAUGGAAAAAAUAUACAUAGAGAAGCAGGGAAGAAAAGAUCAUAUUGUCUAAUAAGGGAGAGAAGUUUUUCUUUUCAAUUCCCCACUUCCAAAGUCAAUCCCUGCAUAGUCCUUCUCUCACUUAUUUCCUGUUCUUAUAAUUAUCCAUAUGUAUUUCUCACUUACCACUUACUCUUUCUGACCUGAUAAGUUAGAAGGAUGGAUGUUCAUGAGACUGCCUAUCAUAAUCUUAAUGUGAAUAGAUGUUUGUUCUUUGCAUCCAAAUGAUUCCUAAAUUAGCUCCUAAUUGACAAGGAUAGUUAGGAUAUUUGUGCCCAGAGUGGAACAAACUGGAAGUAAGUGCAUAAAAACAGUGCAUUAAAAAUCCUUACUCCCCUAUCUAUGCCACAUAUAGCAAGGUGGAUUAUUUUAAGUCCAAUCAAUUUGGAAAACAAACAAGGGAGCAAGCAUUCUUAUGAAUGCCUGUGUUCACCACUUUCCCAAAAUUUUCUAUACAUCUCCAGUCUCCCAAAUACAAUUUGGUUAAUUCCAUCAAAUUAGAGAGUCUUAGCUCAAUGUAUCCAUUCUGAAUGUGUUAGAGGCUUGAUUCCACCAAACUGCAGAGAAUGACACACGUGCUUACAUUGCAAAACCUCCUACUGCUGAUCCUUCCUGAGCCUUUUCCAUCAGAGACUAUGAAGCAAGACAAGAAGUGGAGCACAAGCAGAGAACAAAAUGCCAUCUCCCUCAGGCAUUUGCCAGCCUAAAUGGAAUAGAAACAGCAGAAUAAAAAUGCUUGUCACUUUCAGAAAAUUGUAUUCCAUUGUAGUAAAAGGCUCAGAAUAUAGUCCUUUCUAUUGCUUUAUUUUGCAAGAUAUAUUUGAUAAGACAGGAAUGGUUCUUAGAGAAUACCUGUAUUUCAAAUCUAAGCAUAAUAAUGAACUCUCUCCAAAAUAAAAACUUUUCAGAAUUAUGACCUCUUUGGAAAGAAUUAAGAGAAUGUAAGAUACAGUAUUAGCAGUUUCUUCAUAAUGGGGGAAAAGAAAUAGAAAGGAAAAUGACGCAUAAGUAAUUAAAUCUUCUUUAAAGAAUGCACAAAUGUAUCAUGCAGAGGAUUUUUUAAAAAUAAUAUUACCAAUAUUGCCUGUUGUUUAUGAUAAUAUAUUGUUUCUUCAAAGCACCAUCAAGGUUGUGCUAUUAUCUGAAAAAGAAGGAAACUGAGGCUAUGAGAAUUUAUAUGACUCUUAUGUUUAAGGUCUUUAAACUAGAUAGCAAUAAAGGCAGUACACUAAAAGUUAUGGUGAAUGUUUCUUUUUCUACUAUAUCAAUACUGCCUUUCAAUUUUUAACUAAAAAUGAGGAAAUAAGGCAAAAUAAUAGAUAUUUUUACCUCUUAUUGGUAUCAGAGAAAAAUUAUGUAGGUUUCAAGUUGUUGCAUGAGUUGGUAGAGCACUACUUCUUUACCUGUGGAUCUAUUUAUGACUGACAACCAAUGCACCAAUUAACAAAAGCAGAGGAAAUAUCCUAGCAAAGAAACAUGGCUUGUAGAAAAAUCAAUAGGUUACUGUAGCAUCUUAGGAUAGGAAUAGAGGUAAGGAAAUAUCUAAACUGCAGAUAAUUUGGAAAACAACAGUGUUCACAGGUCUUCAAUUGGUAAGGUAGUUUUAACUAUGAGAAUCAAUCUGAUUUGGUGGCUGCUGCUAGUGAUUGAUAGCCACUAUAACUCUUUUCCCAAAGUACCAGUUUGGGAGAGAUGUAAAACACAAUGCCUGGCAUUGAUUUGGCAGGAAAAUAUGCCUUUCUUUUGCUGAGCCCUGCUAACUUAGGUUCAUUGCUGACACAAAUAGCAAUUUCAAAGUCAUCACAGGAAUUAGCCUGAAUGCUUAUCCUUGGAGAUGUUUUGAGAACAUGAUUGAGUAGCAAGUAACUUCAUUAGCCCUGUAUGUUAUAUAUGAGAAAGGGGCUUUUUUAGUACUCAUGAUGUUUAAAUAUUGUGUAUAUAUAAGGAACACAUGCCAAAUAAAUACAUAUAUUACAGAAGUCCUCUUCCACUGCAGUAAUUGCAUGGGCUGUCUUUUAUAAGGAAAUAGUACAACUGAAUCUAUCAGUUAAGCACAUGUUUCUUGAAGUAAAAGAGUCAGCAUGCAAUCCAUUUACAUUUCUUCCAAGAUCCCCCCUGAAGUUCAUAAUGUGCAUUUUAAUAGUUGACGAAGAUUGCAGUUGCAGUCUAUGGCCAGGAUCACAAUAGAGCUAAUGUAUUGUGAAGGGAGCAAACCCUUGGUAUUAACAGUAUUCAUGAUAUUUCUAAGUGUCUACAGUUAAGAAAAAGUUCAAAAGAGAUUGAGAGUAUCAUUCAGCAAUGAAGAGAAUAGAUCCCUAACUGGUGUGUGUAUUUUAUCUUUCUAACUUCUGAAAAAAGAGAUUUCCUGAAGAUAUAUUGAUAAGUGAUUUGGGUACCUCCUCCAAAAGGAAAAUGACGACAAAUGAAAGCAACACUCUAAGUUGACAAAUACAAGGUCUGCCUGGUAUUUAUGACAAUAAGAAGAAACUUUCUACAUGUUUUGAGUAGUGCAUUAUAGAUAAUGACAAGUUCAUUUUGACAUAAUUAUAUAUGUAUGAAAUAUAAUUUGUUGCAUUUCAUUUCCCUUCCUCCUUCUUCUUGUCUCUCCCCCCAUCUCUCCCACUGUUCUCCUUCUCCUACUCUGCUGGUUUUCCUUGUAUCUAUUUAUCACUUUUAAUUGGUGUUUUAUAAAUAUACAUCAAGGUGGAAUUCAUUAUGUUAUAUUCAUUUAUGUGCAUAGUGUAAUUUGGUCAAUUUAAUUCUGAAGCUUCUCUCAUUUUCCCAUUCCUCUCCCACCCCUUUAUACACUGCCUCUAUUCCACUGAUCUAGGAUAAAAGUUUGAGGUUUCAGAAACAGAAUAGUUUGCAGAAAUAUAUUCUGGAUUUCUCUUCUAUGUCUGAGAUACUAUGAGCAUUAUCAUGAUUGAAAGCAAUACCCUGGAUAAAAUUUUUUAAGAUUAAUUCAAGUAGGAAAUCUAUAUAACUAUGAUACUAUUUGAUGUAAUAUAAAUGAACUAUACAUUUGGUUUAUGGUUGAAUAUGCAUACUCUAGUCAAAGUAAGAAAAAGCAUAACUUUUAAAAGAUGAAAAAUCCUGAUGGUAGAUGAUUUGAUUAGGACAGAGUAAACUAGAGUUGGACAUAUGCCAAUUAUGACUAGUUUGCUUCACAUGCAGAAAAAUUCUAUUCCUGUUCAUGGUCAAUUCCUCCUGGAACAGGAGUCACUGGGAAAAAUCAAAAAAGUCAAAAAGAUACAAAAAAUAAAAGAAAAUCUAUUGCUGGGUCACAAAUGGUCUUGGGACUUACUGCUCAGGACAGGUAACUAUACAUAGAAACACAAAGUUCUACUUACAUAAGAGAAAAUAAGACUUUCAUGUGGUACUAUGAUUAGAAAGUGAAAAUACAGGAAGCAGAUUUUUCUCUUUCAAGCAAAACAGGAAAUAGUAUUUUUAUAAAGUGAUAUUCCCACUGAAAGUCUUUAUAAUUCCAUCUAAUGUACAUCUCAAGUGAAAUUAAAAGAUCUAAUGUGCACUUCAUCUAAGAGAAUUUGCCACUGGUAUUUAUUGGAAGAACCUUCCCACACCCACUGCCCAUGUGCAUGCAUACAUAUGCAGACACACACACACACACACACACAUCAAAUGAGCAAUAGAACUCCAUGAUAAAAUAGAUAGUUUCCCCAACUAAUUUCUAUUUUCCUGUUUGGUAAUUUAAUGACAAUAAGUAUAGUUUGGCAUUAUUUCAGAAGCUAAUUUUUGUCAAAGGGUUCAUAGUUCAUAGAAUGUUAAUAAGACUGCAUCAGCCCAGUGUCCAUCAAGACACAUGAUUGGCCUACUGUCAAGUUCAAAAAUGCAUUGUUUACUCAAAGGAAGAAAGGAAGACAGUACAGAAUCACUUUCUCUUUUCAAAAUAUGUAAAUUGAGAACAAACAGUGUUUUAAAAUUAUUGUUUAUGCUACUUUUGGGUUGUGAAUAAUUUUCUUACAACUGCUGAGCCAUCUGUUAAACAGAGAGGUCUUGCCUGUACAAAAAGCUGAACUAAUUUUUUUUAAUCUCAAUAAACAGCUUUUGUUGAAUCCUCUAUACAACAAAUAUUCUAAUAAAUAACAGUUCAUGGUAUUCACAGGUCAACCUAAGUAGAAAAGAAAACAAGUUAUCCUUUGAAAAUUGUUUUAAAUACUGAUUUCUAUAGAGAGGGGAAAAUACACUUGUACUCUAGGUCUUUCAGCUAUACCAUCUGUGGCCAAAUAAGAAACUGUCAUAUUUUGGUACUUCUCUUGACCUUGAAAGACUACCCUUUACAAGAAAAAUUGUAGAAGACUGUGCAACCAAUAGCAUAAUUCCUAGAUAUUCAGUCUCCUGACCAUCAACUUCUAUCCUGAGAUCACAUCCCUGAGUCAUGUUUCUAAGCUUCUAAAUAUAGUGCACUUUUUUCUGUUAAAUGAACUUCUGGUUAGUGUGGUAAUCCCAUUUCAACAAAACACACCACCAUUAUUAUUACCCAGAAAUUAUUGGAAUACAAUGAUUUGCAUAGGUUUUUUAAAGUGAAAUAAUUUUAAUGUCAUUUUUAAUUACAUUUUUAUUCUUUUUAGAUAUACAGGAGAGAAGAACAUAUUUUGACCCAUUAUUCUUACAUGGAGCAUAACUUAUUCUAAUCAAGAUUCCAUUCUUGUGGUCGUACAUGAUAUGGAGUUUCACUGAUUGUGUUAAAUUACAUUUAUUUUUAACUGAUAUAUUAAAAACACCAAAAUUGUACAUAUUAAUGGGGUACUAGAUAAGGUUUUAUACAUAUAUACAUUGUGUAAUCAGGUUAAAUAUACCUAUUUACUCAAACAUUUAUCACUUAUCUACAGAAAAUAUAUUCAAAAUCUUUUAUUCUAGCUUUUUGAGAUACAAGACACAAAAUCACUAUCUGUAGUAACCCUAUUGUGCAAUAGCACAGCAGAACUUCUUUUAUCUGACCACAACUUUAGUACCCAUUGAUGAACAUUUUCUUAUCCUUUUCUCCCCAGCCCCUGUAACCACCAUAAAGUGAAUUACUUUUAAAUCUACAGAUUUCUUAACUUUCAAAUAUGAUUCAUGACUGUGGCACAGUUAUAUUUGAAACUAUAAGACAUCUAAUGUCUUAAUUCCAUUCAUUGCUGCAGACUUUAUUGUGGAACAAAGUAUCAUUCCAGUUAGUAAAUAGUAACCAUUGGGCAAAUGUGAUUUCUUAGCUAACCACAUGCUCUAUUCUUGAAUGAAACAAUAGAUAUUCUGCUUAAUUCAGAGUCCAUCUUUUUAGUCCCCCAUGUUUCAAAUUAAUGGGAUUUAACUAUACUUAAAAAUUAACAGCCAAUAUGGUGAUUAGUGAUAUGUUAAAAAGGAGUCAGUCUUAUAAUCAAGGCUUUCCAUCUAAAUUAGAACAAAUUUGUUAUUUAAUAGCAAGUAAAAUAUAUCAACUGCCCUCCUUAGAUUACAGACAGAUGGUCAUGGCUGAAAGUAAUGAAAUGUAGUCAGUCACACACAAAUACAUACUUUUCCCACAAAAAUUUUAUGUUCUGCCUUGACAAACAUCCCCCGAUUGGUUUCUCAGACCUUUGGUGACUCAAGUUGAGGAAAGGGAAAGAAAGAGCAUCAAUGAUCAGAGAUUGUGGAAAAGAAAGAGGAAAUGAAGUCAUAGAUGGCAACUAUUGUUCAGUACCAAUGAAUGAUAAUUUAUAGAAAAAUGGCAAGCUUGGUUGACUCAUUGCAAUAUGAUAUUUUGAAAAUUCUUAGGCAAGGAAAUUCUGAGUUUACGACUUAGAAUUUGUUAACAGAGUGGACAGUAUGAUUGGCAUAUUCAUUAAUGAAUGAAUGAGGUGGUGCAUAAUAUUGAGAAAACCAAUUAAAGGCAGUUUUUUUUUUCCUUUUUUCUGUCUUGUUUUCAUUUCAAAACCCUCACCACAAACUUAGCAGGUGCUCAAUAAAGGGCUUUUGGAUGAAUGGAUGAGAAUUGUAAUGGUAAGUGAUAAUGGUCGAGAAAGAAAAAGGGGGAGUGGAACAUUAAGCCCAUCAAGAACAAUGAAAGCAGACACUUGGGCCUUCAUAUUUCCAGGACUAUGACACAGUAUUUUUACCAUUUAAUCCCCAAAAUUAUACUCUUUUUUAACUAAAAAGCAGAUAGUUUUCCUUCUCUUACAUAUUAGAAUAUGGAAUAUUCAAGGAAUAUUCAAAUUUCUCCAUAAAAUAUUAGCAUUUAUCCAAUUAUAAUAAAUGUCUACUGUUUAUUAUUUAAUCAAUUAAAAUCUCUAAUCCUCCCUCUGUGUUAGUCUUAAAGAUUAACUUCAGUGUCAGGAUGAUAAAGGAUCUGCAUAUCUAAUUUAACUUUUUCACUUGAAAUUUAAAUUCAAGUUUUUGGCAGAAAACAAAGCCAAUAACCACCAUCUCAGUUAUGACAGGUGGUAGCUAUCUGCCAUAAACCAAUGUCUCAACUAGCUUGACAUAUCCUCUGUAAAAAGUCCAUUAUGCCUUUGGUAAAUAUUUUAUAAAUUGGAAAACAUAAAACUUCAAUCAGUGAAUCUGGCUCAGGACUUCCCAGAAGCAAAAGAAAUACAAAAUGUGGAUGUGUCUAUGUGCUCAUAUUUGGAAUUAAAAACAUCUCCUUUUAAAUUACACUUACUGAACCUAUAGCUUGUCAGUUUUUUCUAAAAAUACUAAGUGUAUUUUAAGAUACUUUUUCUUAAUUAUAUAAAAGUUAUCAGGGAAAGAGAGGAUUGCAAAAGUUAUAAAUAUGUAAGAAAACAUAAUCUGUGAAUGUCUUGCAAACCAUAUUUUCAUAACUCAGCAUUUGACCAGAGGAAAACAUCUGCUAGUUAUUUUACCCUCAAGCUUUGUUUAUGUCAGUAGUUUUUAAGACUAGUAAUCUAAAACAAACAAGCGAAAACUUACAGAAGUAGGAGGGGAAAUAAUAAAUAAGGAAAGUAGAGAAGAUGUUCAAUGGCCUUAAGUCAGAGUGACUAGAAACACAUUUUGAAUAAAAUUGUCCUGGACAGAACCUCAAAUCUCAUAUUGACUACACUUAAAACUUAAACAAGAUGUUUACCUACAUACCCUCAGAUUUCUCUUCAUUGGUAUAUUAGGGGCUGUGAUGUGUACUUUGUAAUUUGAGAUAUAAAUGUAUAUUGACUCAAAUAUAUAUAUAUAUAUAUAUAUAUAUAUAUAUAUAUAUAUAUAUAUAUAUAUAUAAAAUCACACACUUAUUGAUACCCAGUAUGUUCAAUUAAUAGUAGAUAUUCCUACUAUUAUUGCUUCUGCUGAUAAUACUACUACUACUUACUACUACUUUUAUUAUUAUCACAGCCUGUUAUACUUGGUAGAGAGUAAGUAGUAAGGAAAGCAAUGGUGGUAUGACCAGAAGGAGCAGUUAAAUUUGGAUCAACAAAUAUUCAAUCUCCAUGUUUAAGCUCUUCAUUUAUUUAACUAAUUAAGUGAUUAAAGUUUCACAAUAUCUUGUGUUGAUAUACCCACUUUGGAUUUUUAAAGACCUUUCAAAACAAUUUGAAUUGUUUUCAACUAUCUUUUGAUCUAUCAUCCUGACUAAAGAUUAUUUUGAGGCAAGUGCAGCAAUAUAUUUAGCAUUUUUAAGUUAUGAAAUGACAUGGAAAAGUAUUUCACCCAGCCCUUCCUGUGACACUGUAAGAAAGAGAGAACUAUGAAGAUCAAAAUAUCUUAAACAAAGCCACAUAGAAAAUAAGUAGCAAUUCUAAAACUUCUCCCAUAAAUAAAAAUAAGUAUCAUUUGAGUUCUUUAUAUACCCUAGAGAUUAGUGCUCUAUCAGAUGUGUAAGGGGUAAAAAUUUGCUCCUAGGAUGUAGGCUGGCUGUUUACCUCACAGGUUGUUUCUUUUGCCAAGAAGAAACAUUUUAGUUUGAUUUCAUCCCAUUUAUUGAUUCUUGAUUUUAAUUCUUGUGCUAUAGGAGUUUGGUUAAGGAAGUUGGGGACUAAUUCUAGAUGAUGAAGAUUAGGGUCUACUUUUUCUUCUAUUAGACACAGAAUCUCUGGUAUAAUUCCUCGGUCCUUGAUACAUUUUGAGUUGAGUUUUGUGCAUGGUGAGAGAUAUGGGUUUAAUUUCAUUUUGUUGCAUAUGGAUUUCCAGUUUUCCCAGCACCAUUUUUCUAAGAGGCGAUCUUUUCUCCAGUGCAUGUUUUUGGUACCUUUGUCUAAUAUAAUAUAAUUGUAGUUUUGUGGGUUAGUCUCUGUAUCCUCUAUUCUGUACCAUUGGUCUACCAGUCUAUUUUGGUGCCAAUACCAUGCUGUUUUGUUACUAUUGCUCUGUAGUAUAGUUUAAGGUCUGGUCUGCUUCACUCUUCCUGCUAAGGAUUGCUUUAGCUAUCAAAUAACCCAAUCAACAAAUAGACCUAGGAUCUGAACAGACACUUCUCAGAAGAGGAUAUACAAUAAAUCAACAAAUAUAUGAAUAAAUGCUCAUCAUCUCUAGCAAUAAAAGAAGUGCAAAUCAAAGCUACUCUAAGAUAUCAUCUCACUCUAGUCAGAAUGGAAGUUAUUUUGAAGACAAACAACAAUAAGUGUUGGCGAGAAUGUGGGGGGAAAGGUACACUCAUACAGUGCUGGUGGGACUGCAAAUUGGUGCAGCCAAUAUGGAAAGAAGUAUGGAGAUUCUUGGAAAUCUGAGAGUAGAACCACCAUUUGACUUAGCUAUCCCUCUCCUCAGACAAUACCCAAAGGACUUAAAAACAGCAUACUACAGUGACUCAGCCACAUCAAUGUAUAUAGCAGCACAUUUCACAAUAGCUAAACUCUGGAGCCAACCUAGAUGCCCUUCAGUGGAUGAAUGGAUAUAAAAAAUGUGGCAUAUAUACACAAUGGAAUUUUAUUCAUCAAUAAAAGAGAAUAAAACCAAGGCAUUUGCAGGUAAAUGGAUGGUGCUGGAGAAGAUAAUGCUCAGUGAAUCCAAAAAAAAACAAAUGCCAAAUGUUUUCUCUGACAUAAAGAGGCUGACUCAUAGUGGGGUGGGGAGGGGGAGCAUGGGAGGAAUAGAUGAAUUCUAGAUAGGGAAGAGGGGUGGGAGGAAAAGGGAGGAGGUAGGGGAUUAGCAAAGAUGGUGAAAUGUUAUGGACAUCAUUAUACAAAGUACAUGUAUGAAGACAUGAAUUGGGUGUCAACAUACUUUAUAUACAGAGGUAUGAAAAAUUGUGGUAUAUAUGUGUAUUAAGAAUUGUAAUACAUUCCACUGUCAUGUAUUUAAAAAAAUAAAAUCAAUUAAAUAAUAAAAUAAAAUAAGUAUCAAUAAAUUUAUCAUAAUAAAAUAGUUUGAAGUUCAGCCAAUACACCAAUCUUGCUUAAUGAUAUUUAAUGCAAAAAUAAAUUCAAGGGAAUGGGGUUGUGGCUCAGUGGUAGAGCACUCAUCUAGCACGUGAGAGAGCCUUGGUUUGAUCCUCAGCACCACAUAAAAAUAAAUAAGUUUUUUUUCUUAAAAAGGUACUGUGUACAACUAAAAGAAAUAAAUGUUUAAAAAUAAAUAAAUUCAAAACAGCAAAAAGUGUGAAAUUUAUUUCAGAUUGUAUCUGCUAUGUAAUAUGAACCUGAGUCUAAGUAUGUCAGUGUGUAUAGCAUAUGCACAAUAUGGACCUAGAAUAUAGAUGAGUAUAUUCUGUGUCUACCUACAAGUAUACACAAAGUCAUAUUUAGAGCUAUAUUUAAAAUGAUGGAUCAUCUUUAAAUUGUUCACACUCUCCUACAAGGUUGUAGAGAUAUAUUACACAAACAUUGAUUUCAUUUGGCUUUUGAUUUUGAUAUUUUAUUUAUUUAUUUAUUUAUUUAUUAUUUUAUUUAUUCCUAGAGUAUAGUACCAGGUAUAGAAAUGCAAACCAAUAUUUCUUUUCUGGGGUGCAAUCUUCUAAUGCAUCUCUCCUCAAAUUUUGUUCCAGUUGACUAAACUUGUUUGUGAUAUUAAAUAUUCCUGAUAUUUGUUUUAUCCUCUCUGGAUUGCCCCAGGAAAAAAAAUCACCGGAAAUGAUUCAUAGCUCUUCAUAUUCAAAUUAUUAAAUUACAAUUAAGUUACUAAUUUACAAUAGAAACCAAAAUGUAAAUAACAUUGUCAUAUUACAUGCACAAAUAUGUAAUGAUUAAUCAUGGACUAAAGAUUCUUAAAUAUUAAGAUGCAUGUAGUACAACAUUUAUUUAAUUUUAACUAUUUGGCAAGCACUAGGUUUAAUAUAGUAUGUGGUUAUUAUGAUUAUUCUUAAUGAUCACUCUCUAAGGCAAGUGGUUUUCCUCAUUAUACCUUGACAUUUUGCAGAUAAAGAAAGUGAUGUACAACAAGUUUAAGUCAUUUGGUCAUGAUCACAUAAUCUGAAUUUAGACAAGUUUUCACUGACUAGAUGGGCCAUUUUUUUUUCAAUAAACUAAGCUGUAUUCCCUCCAAAAAAACUACUCAAAUUUUGUUUAGAAAAUAUCUAAGAUCUCAAAAUUAUCCCAGACCUAAUAAAAAUAAAAGUAGAGCUUAGCCUUGACAAAUGCUUCUAUAAUGAUCAGAACAUUCUUCUAUCCUAUUCUCUCUGUUGGUUCCACAGAGUAUUUGAUGGUUCAUAGUUAUCAGAGUAAGCAGUCACAGGAGCAACACCUGGAAAACUGUCUACACCUGGGAAGGGAUAAAGAAAAAAAUGCCCAGAGAAGAAAAAGGAAAAUGAAUCCAUGAUGUCAUGCUGCAUAGCAGUCCUCUCCUUUUCCAAUUAUUCCUUUACCCCUCUCAUAUCUUAAUUUUUGCUUUAUACCCUUUCCCUUCCUCUUCUGUUUUUUAAAAGCCAACAAAGUUUUCUUUCCAUUUUUAAAACUAAAUAAAUUAUUAAUAUGCAUUGAGUUCAC